GAAUUUUCCGCAAUGGGGGCAACCCUGACGGAGCGACGCCGCGUGCAGGAUGAAGGCCUUCGGGUUGUAAACUGCUUUUAUUUGGGACGAACAAAUGACGGUACCAAAUGAAUAAGAGGUUGCUAACUCUGUGCCAGCAGCAGCGGUAAUACAGAGACCUCGAGCGUUAUCCGGAUUCAUUGGGCGUAAAGGGUCCGCAGGCGGCCUGAUAAGUCAUAUGUCAAAUCUUCGGGCUCAACCCGGAGACUGCGUAUGAUACUGUUAGGCUAGAGGCUGGGAGAGGCACACGGAAUUGCCGGUGUAGCGGUAAAAUGCGUUAAUAUCGGCAAGAACACCAAAGGCGAAGGCAGUGUGCUGGAACAGUUCUGACGCUCAGGGACGAAAGCGUGGGUAGCGAAUGGGAUUAGAUACCCCAGUAGUC
rnacentral:rRNA from 1 species